AGCGAAAGCGUAGAACGGUUCUUACGGCACUCUCAUAAGGUGACAACAAUGGGUUCAACUCCCAUUUUCGCUA
rnacentral:tRNA from 1 species